CCAACUGUGGCGGAACCAACCUCGCCACUAUGCACUGGAGAAGCCUGGUUGCCAGCCUCCUGCCAUGUGACUAUGGCCCCUGGGAUGUAUUGCCCUUUAAAGACAUGAUUUGGGCAUAAUGGAUUUGUGUUGUGCUGCUGCUGGCCCUUUUAAGAACCAUCUGGGGACAUACUGUGGAGUUACUGGGUGGCCACCAUUUCCUGUAUCAGAAGCACAUGGUGAGAACAAUGGAUGGCGGCCAUUUUAACUCACAGACACUGUGUGGACUUUUCAACACGGUGCCAU